rnacentral:pre_miRNA from 1 species
UGAGGCUGAUGCAUCUACUAGCAAGGAGUCCAAGGCCACCGGAUCUAGUGACCUUGGCCUCUGCGCGCAACAGAUCCGAGUAGCUGGA